rnacentral:rRNA from 1 species
UACGGGGGGAGCAAGCGUUGUUCGGAUUUACUGGGCGUAAAGGGCGCGUAGGCGGUCAGCACAAGUCAGUUGUGAAAUCUCCGGGCUUAACUCGGAAAGGUCAACUGAUACUGUGCGACUAGAGUGCGGAAGGGGCAACUGGAAUUCUCGGUGUAGCGGUGAAAUGCGUAGAUAUCGAGAGGAACACCUGCGGCGAAGGCGAGUCCCUGGACAAUACCUGACACUGAGGCACGAAAGCCAAGGGAGCAAACAGG